rnacentral:rRNA from 1 species
GCCUCAGUAACGGCGAGUGAAGCGGCAACAGCUCAAAUUUGAAAUCUGGCUCUUUCAGGGUCCGAGUUGUAAUUUGUAGAGGAUGCUUCGGGCGUGGCGCGGGUCUAAGUUCCUUGGAACAGGACGUCAUAGAGGGUGAGAAUCCCGUAUGCGACCCAAUGCCUCCGUCCAUGUGAAGCUCCUUCGACGAGUCGAGUUGUUUGGGAAUGCAGCUCAAAAUGGGUGGUAAAUUUCAUCUAAAGCUAAAUACUGGCCAGAGACCGAUAGCGCACAAGUAGAGUGAUCGAAAGAUGAAAAGCACUUUGGAAAGAGAGUUAAAAAGUACGUGAAAUUGUUGAAAGGGAAGCGCUUGCAACCAGACUUGCUCGCGGUUGCUCAGCCGGUGUUCUCACCGGUGCACUCUUCCGCGAUCAGGCCAGCAUCGGUUUGGGCGGCUGGAUAAAGGCCUCGGGAAUGUAGCUCCUCUCGGGGAGUGUUAUAGCCCGAGGUGCAAUGCAGCCUGCCCGGACCGAGGACCGCGCUUCGGCUAGGAUGCUGGCGUAAUGGUUGUAAGCGACCCGUCUUGAAACACGGACCAAGGAGUCUAACAUCUAUGCGAGUGUUUGGGUGUCAACCCAUGCGCGUAAUGAAAGUGAACGGAGG